rnacentral:lncRNA from 1 species
GCCGCUUGGUGAAAUUAUAUUUUGAUCAAAUCACUUGACUAUUCGAGCUGACCCAUGUCAGCUAGGUAAAUCAGUGUGACUGAUUUAGAUGCUCCUAGACCAGCCCUUUUGAUGGUCUCCCUUAAGCUGACUUGGUGAAGCCAGUGGGAGGAUCAUGAUAAGCUAGUUCAUCUGACCUCCUCCUCUAAAUCAAUUAAAUCCUCUAAAAUUAUUAGGUUCUUAAAAUAAAAUAGU